rnacentral:rRNA from 1 species
AUGGAUGAGGGAGCCGGCGAGCGAGCUGGCCGGCUACUGGUGGACGGCGGCGGCGGGGCGGCGCGCUGGCUGGAGGCGGUUGACGAGCGCGAGGGCGACGCCGGCGGCCUGCUCGACGGCGACGACGCGGCGCCUCACGUCCUCCCGGGGCGCGCCGGCGCCGGCGGAGGCGGCGAGGGAGUCGAGGCAGGUCUCGGCGUCGGUGAGCGCGGCGCUGGCCCAGGUCUGCACGUUGCUGAGGCACCACGCGAAGCGCGGGGACGAGGCGCGCCCCACCCGCCCGCCCAGCUCCGCCACCGACUGCUUCAGCAGGUCCGCCGCGUCGCGCACCGUCUCGGCGCAGUCCCCCAUGGCGCCGCCGCCCUUCCCCUUCCCCUUGGACGACGCGUAGGAGGAGGAGGAGGGGGACCCGAUGUAGGCGGAGCAGUUGCGCGCGGCGUCGGCGGCGGCCGCGAGCGCCGCCUGCGCGAGCCGCCGCGGGCUGAGGCCCACCGCGGGCGCGCGCGGCACCAGGCUCCGCUCGCACGCGCGCGGGUAGCUCGUGGCCCGGCAGCACCGGCGCACGAAGCCCGUCGCCUCCGCCGGGCUCACCUUCGGGGGGCUCGACGCCGACGCGACGCCGGCGGCCAGGAGGAGGAGGAGGCAGGGGAGGAGGACGAGGUGGCGCCGGCUCAUCUUGGCUUUGCCGGUGCCGGUGUUAGGAGAGGAUUCUUUGCUUGUGUGCGCGUGGACUGUGGAGUUGUGAGGGAAAGGUGUUGGCGUGGUGGUGUGGUCAGAGUCAAGUCGGGGUUGCUCGUCGGCGCCGGCGAAUCAAGUCGACGGGGAGUAGUGGGAAGGGCAGAAGAGCGAAUAUAUAAGAUUUGUUAG